AGCAGCCGCGGUAAUUCCAGCUCCAAUAGCGUAUAUUAAAGUUGUUGCAGUUAAAAAGCUCGUAGUUGAAUUUCAGGCCUGGCUGGACGGUCCGCCCUUCGGGUGAGUACUGUCUGUGGUCGGGUCCUACCUUCUGGCGAAGCGUCAUGGCCUUAACCGGCCGUGGCGGGGAACCAGGACUUUUACUGUGAAAAAAUUAGAGUGUUCAGAGCAGGCAAUCGCUUGGAUACAUUAGCAUGGAAUAAUGGAAUAGGACAAUGGUUCUAUUUGUUGGUUUCUAGGACCGUUGUAAUGAUUAAUAGGGAUAGUUGGGGGCAUUAGUAUUCAAUUGUCAGAGGUGAAAUUCUUGGAUUUAUUGAAGACUAACUACUGCGAAAGCAUUUGCCAAGGAUGUUUUCAUUAAUCAAGAACGAAAGUUAGGGGAUCGAAGACGAUCAGAUACCGUCGUAGUCUUAACCAUAAACUAUGCCGACUAGGAAUCGGGCGAUGUUGACAAAAUGACGC
rnacentral:rRNA from 1 species